ensembl:lncRNA
AUUGAAAAUUCUAUACAGAGCCUGAUAAAAAAGAAAACAAAGCCCUUAAUGAUGCCUGUAGUAUGGAAAGCAGGCAAAUGUCCGCUCCUUUGAGUGCUUAUUCCUACAUGGUGAGACCUUACAGAGCCAACCAAGUGACCCACAAUUACCCGGCACAGCAGAGCUGCACAUGGGCUUCCAUGUGAAUGCACUCAUCUGCACCAGAUACCUGCUGGCAUCAGCAGUCCUUACACACAGCAAAGGAGAGCAUCACACCAGCUUACACCACGCUCUGGGCCUGCAGGUACUGCUGCUUCUUUGUUAGGAAUAAAAAGGAUGAGACCAAAAUUGACCAGUUGCUUUUGGGUUUGACCUUCAUUAUCAAACAGGGAAUGCUGAGUUGCAUAGUGUGCACACUGCAGAAGAUGAGUUAUUUGAACAGAGGAUACCAGAGCCUUGACUGCACUGUGUUAGGGCAGUGACAGCACACGGGGAUAUGCCAGACCCAGAGCAUAGCCCAGGUGCAGAGACUGCAUCAAAGCCCUGAGCAGCUCUGAUAUCCAUUUCCAGAGCUCUGGGCAGAGCGCGGAGAUGUUACGGCCAUUCGGACAGCUGCAAAUUAUUUGUUCAUUCAUUCAUUUUCCGUGGGCAAAAAUCCCAAAUCAACCCGGAAAGAAAACCCACCCUGGGACACCAGCCCAAGCUGUGGGUGUCAAGAUUCGCUGCUGCGGGAGCAGAAAGGCACUUUGUGCAGCCACACACCUCAUAAAGAGAGGACAGGAAAUUUCAUGGGAGCAAAGACAAUGGCCUAAUUUUUUCCUGCCAGUGUCAAAACAAUGCUCUCGAAGAGCCAGAAGCCAUGGUCUGUGAGAACUAAAUUGGUGGUCCCCAUCCGGUUGCUCUGGAAUAACAGCCCUGUCACCACAUGGCACAGAGCAGCAGUGCCAGCGCAGUCCCAUGAGCCACCAAAGGCUGUGCAAGGAGAAGUGGGAGUGGGGCUUCUGGCCCUGUAUUGCUGGGCAGGGCAAUGAUGGGGCAGGGACUGAGCAAGGAUGGCUGUCCCACUCCAGGGAAACCACAGCAAUGGUCAGAAACAGGAGUUUUUGGAAAUGAGGCAUUACCUCUAGGAACCACGGAGCUCAGCAAGUUGUAUCUCGCAUGGAAAGGAGCUGAUUAAAGCAGUAAGUUUGUUGCUGCUUGAUGACAGCAGCUCAAACCCUUCAAUAUCCCACUGCUGGUAGCCAGAGGCAGGAGUUCUGGCAGAACCAAGGCCCUGUGAGGUGACAAAUCUGAAUACCAGUGUGUUGGGACACCAAGCAAGUAGAGAAGUGAGUGAAAACAAAGGCUUUUAAGCAAACUUAUCUUGUUCCCACCCUGUCUGGUAUGAAAGAAGCUAAAGACACAGGGCAAGUUUUCCUCAAAAUGUCACAUAUUUAGUUGAAUCAGUUUAAGGACAGAAGGUUCAGAAAUGAUAGGAAAACUCCACUCAGCCAACUCUAAAGUGUCCCAUCACUGCUGCUGUGAAGUCUCUCCCAGACUGACCAAAGCAAACUGGAUCUCAUGUUAUUCUGCUCCCUGUGCCCACCAGGGCCAUGCAGUGCCACACAGUGCCGCCGGCCGGCAGUGCACCAGCAUGGCAGUGGUGGCCAUACAGAAAUCAGGGUCCAAAUUUCCUGGCACAUGCAAAAACAAACCCAAAGAAUUGGAUCCCAAGGGACAGUUUUAAUGAAGUGGCGGCUCAGCGCCACUCAGAAUACUACAAAAAAUCCCAGAAAGUAGCAUGCAAUUAUGCAUCUACAAACACCAUUUAGGCUGAUGACUCAAAAUAUUCAUUGAUUUGAAAUACAUUGCCUGAAUGCAUUUUGCAUAACAUUGGUGUAUAUUUGUGUGUAUAAUAUUUGUUAGACUUACAAAUACAUGGAGAAGGCACAGGUAUACAUAUCCACUUCUAGGAACGAAUGGCUAAGUGGCAGAGCCAUUCUUUCACAUGGGCAAAGCAAAGGUUUCACUGCUUUUAUUUCAUUUUAAUCUUAUACAAGUAAUGCUUUAGGAAAUGUUCAUUAUCACCAACGCUCUCAUCGUGGUCUCAAGUCUGUAAUGCCACGAAGGAAGCCUCCGCUGCACAGAACUGACUCUACCGGGUUGCUGAAGCUGAAGUUCCCUGAGUAUUCCUCUCCAUCAAAGACAUUAUGAGUAAUAAGAGUAGCUGCAAUUGUGGCUUUUUAGAAAGUGCUCUUAGCAGUGUGUUCUAGAAAGGCCAUUUUAAAGGUCACAUUGCUGAGCCCGUGGCGCGCUGCCUUGGCGAGGUGGUACGAAGUGAGUGCGUUUCAGCUGGCAUCUGGUUUAGACUAUAUUUUCAUCUGUGGAAAUUGAAAAAUUCUUGGAAGAACUCCACAGUCUACAAAAAAAAAAAAUGUUCUUCUUGAAAACAAGUUAUGAGUUAAUGAUAAUUCCACUCGGGGCAGGAAGGAAGGGCUUAGGCUGGACAGCCCCGGGUGGCUGGGAGGACGCUAACCACGGCCCCGCUCCCAUCCCAGCCCUGUGGAAUGGGAUGAGUGCCCCAUGCCAGGAGAUAGAUGGAUUAACCAUACCCCACAGAAGCGAACUGCUUUUAUAAGCACUGUGUAAUUCUGAAUAUGUGAAAACUUUCUGACUGGAGUUCAAAUCCAGCUUUUCCUCUAAUACAUCCCUAGAAGGAACUUCAAAUAUUAAAUCCUGAGAAAUGUAGACGAAACCACGUAAAAGCUGCAGACAUCCUAAAUAUGCACAAUGGGAUCCCUUAUGCUGAAGACACAGUGAAACAUUCAUAACCAUUACAGUAAAACCCAAAUUCUGACUUGUUCCUGCACUUAGCUACGACCGGAUUACAAUUCUGGUUAAAGCAUCCAUCUGCCUAAAAAUAAACAUUUGUAAUGACCUUAAUGAGCUACGGAGUGAUCCUGUGUUGAAGUCUCUUCAUGGGAAAAAAACAUGUCACUCUUUGGAAGGACCUGCUGCAACUCCCACGUGAAGAACUGCCUGUGGUGCUGGAAAUAACCAACACGGAGCUGUAAACUUACGGAGGCAGAUGAUAGAGUCAUAGAAUGGCCUGGGUUGGAAGGCAUCAUCCGAAUCCAACCCAGGUUGGAAGGGCCCUUGCAGCACCCCCAGCCCCACCCCCAACAUGGGCUGGUUGCCCCCCAGCUCAGGCUGACCAGGGCCCAUCCAUGGCCUUGGGCAUCUCCAGGGAUGGGGCAGCACAGCUCUGGACAGCACUGCCAGCACCUCACCACCCUCCCUGCAUGGAUGGAGGAUGGCUCACAUGAAUUGUCACAGGCAGAGGCAGCAGGAGCACUUUGUAGCUCUGAAGCAGUCCCGCCAGGUGCCACGGCUCUGUGCCUGCAAACCAGGCACCUGGAACAGCCCUGCAGGAGAAGGGUGGGAGCAGUGAGGUGUGUGUAUCCCACCGCCCCUCAGCCAGCAGCAUGGGGCACAGGGCAGCCAGUGCUCCGCAGCGGGGCUGGAGGAAGUCCCGCACUCAUAAAUGUUUCAUUGCACUUCUGAAAAACAGACGGCCACUUUUUAGCAGUCUAUGAAACAAUAUUGUAAACAGUUCAACUAUUCUCCCCUCUGGUGCUGGGAUCUGUGAGAACAAUGCGCAUUCAGGGACAGAGCUCUCUGCCUUGGCUGAUCGCUGAUCGCCAGCACAGGCGCGGCGCGACCCACUGCUCCGCUGCCACCGGGAAGGGACAUCGGGGCUGCAUGGACAGACAUGGCUGUAAGACCACCUCUGCUCUGUGCCCUACAUGUGGUACCAACAACUCCCAUUUGGACAACCUGCGGAGCCCUCCACCAACCCCACCGACCACACUGCAGUGCCAAUGGCUGAGCUGAGACUCUCUUCCCAGGAAAAUGUUUGUAAAAAUAAUUUGCUAUAAUUAGAAAAACACUUCAUUGAGAACUCAUUACUGGAAGCCCAUCCUGCAGCUCAGCACUGGGAAGGCCUGGGACACAUUAUGGGUCAGCUGAGAACCACCGCGAUGCCGAAGUUUGAUUCAGAAGAAUUAUUUUGGAGUUCUGGCUCCUCGCAUCCAAUGCACAUGUGACGUUUGUUACAGCAGUGAAAGCACCCUCGAUUGCAGGUCCUGUGCCUGGUGGGGAGCCCAGAUCCAAGCAAGAAGAGCAACCACAACAGCUGGCUGUGAGAGUUCAGCAGAGUUUUGUGCAGUGUCUGCUCAGGUGGUGCUGCUGCGGCUGCUCGAAGCACCACAUCUUUAACACACCCCUACCGAGGGACAGAACGACUCCAGCUCACACUGCUCCUUAAUAUGUAGAAUGGUACCAUCGGCUCUGCUGUUAAAAAGGGAGAUGAUAACAAAAGCAACGCUGCAGCAAAAGCCUCUGAGCCGGGACUUGGAGCUCCUAACCUCCCUUCGGCUCUGGGACCUCUCAAACACAGCAGAGCAGGCUGGGGGCCGAGAGAUGGCGACGCUCUGACCGAAUACAGAGUAAUUAAAAGACCAGUGUGGGCUCCACAGAGAAAGCGUUGC